AACGUAGGAGACAAACGUUAUCCGGAGUUACUGGGCGUAAAGGGCGUGUAGGUGGUUUCGCAAGUCUGGCGUGAAAUAUCUCGGCUUAACCGAGGCAGGUCGUCGGAUACUGCGGGACUAGAGGACGGUAGAGGCGUGUGGAAUUCCGGGUGUAGUGGUGAAAUGCGUAGAGAUCCGGAGGAACACCAGUGGCGAAGGCGACACGCUGGGCCGUACCUGACACUGAUGCGCGACAGCAUGGGGAGCAAACAGG
rnacentral:rRNA from 1 species